rnacentral:rRNA from 1 species
AUGGUAGGAUAGAGGCCUACCAUGGUUUUAACGGGUAACGGGGAAUUAGGGUUCGAUUCCGGAGAGGGAGCCUGAGAAACGGCUGCCACAUCCAAGGAAGGCAGCAGGCGCGCAAAUUACCCAAUCCCGACACGGGGAGGUAGUGACAAUAAAUAACAAUAUGGGGCUCUUACGAGUCUUGUAAUUGGAAUGAGUACAAUUUAAAUCUCUUAACGAGGAACAAUUGGAGGGCAAGUCUGGUGCCAGCAGCCGCGGUAAUUCCAGCUCCAAUAGCGUAUAUNAAAGUUGUUGCAGUUAAAAAGCUCGUAGUUGAAUUUCGGGAUUUAUCCGUCGGUCGGGCUUUUGGGUCUGUACUGGCGUGAUGGAUUCCUACCUUCUGAAUAACCGGCAUGUCAUUAAUUUGGUGCGCCGGGGAAGCAGGACUGUUACCUUGAAAAAAUUAGAGUGCUUAAAGCAGGCUUAUGCCUGAAUACAUUAGCAUGGAAUAAUGAAAUAGGACGGCAUGGUUCUAUUUUGUUGGUUUCUAGGAUCACCGUAAUGAUUAAUAGGGAUAGUUGGGGGCAUUAGUAUUCAAUUGUCAGAGGUGAAAUUCUUGGAUUUAUUGAAGACUAACUUCUGCGAAAGCAUUUGCCAAGGAUGUUUUCAUUAAUCAAGAACGAAAGUUAGGGGAUCGAAGACGAUCAGAUACCGUCGUAGUCUUAACCAUAAACUAUGCCGACUAGGGAUCGGACGAUGUUAAUUUUUUAAUGACUCGUUCGGCGCCUUACGGGAAACCAAAGUGUUUGGG